rnacentral:rRNA from 1 species
CGGUAAUUCCAGCUCCAAUAGCGUAUACUAAAGUUGUUGCAGUUAAAAAGCUCGUAGUUGGAUUUCUGCGGGGACGGAGCGGCCGGACGCAACUUGCGUCUCGAGCUAGCGCUUUCCCCGCAUCCUGCCGCGAACCGUGCUACCAUUAGUUUGGUGGCGCUGGGGAUCGGCUCGAUUACUUUGAGAAAAAUAGAGUGUUCAAAGCAGGCCACACGCCUUGAAUAAGUUAGCAUGGAAUAAUGACUAAGGACUUUGGUUCUUUUCGUUGGUGUUCGGGACUGAAGUAAUGAUUGAUAGGGACAGUUGGGGCGGUCCGUAUUCCAAAGCGAGAGGUGAAAUUCUUAGACCUUCGGAAGACGAACAGCUGCGAAAGCGUUCCGCAAGGAUGUUCCCUUUGAUCAAGAACGAAAGUUGGGGGAUCGAAGACGAUCAGAUACCGUCGUAGUCUCAACUAUAAGCUAUACCAGCUAGGGAUCGGCCAACGUUUAAUUAUUCGACUUGGUCGGCACCUUAUGAGAAAUCAAAACAUCUGGGUUCCGGGGGGAGUAUGGUCGCAAGGCUGAAACUUAAAGGAAUUGACGGAAGGGCACCACCAGGCGUGGAGCCUGUGGCUUAAUUUGACUCAACACGGGAAAACUUACCAGGUCCAGACAUAGGAAGGAUUGACAGAUUGAUAGCUCUUUCUUGAUUCUGUGGGUGGUGGUGCAUGGCCGUUUUUAGUCGGUGAAGUGAUCUGUCUGCUUAAUUGCGUUAACGGACGAGACCCCAGCCUGCUAAAUAGCGCGGCCGAGCUUUGCUCGGUACGAGCUUCUUAGAGGGACCAUGAUGCGCGAUAGCACAAGGAAGUUUGGGGCAACAACAGGUCUGUGAUGCCCUUAGAUGUUCUGGGCCGCACACGGGCUACACUGGCGCCUGCAACAAGCAUAUCAGCUGGCCCGAGAGGGUCUUGGCUAAUCUUUGGAACCGGCGCCGUGCUUGGGAUUGACCAUUGCAAUUGUUGGUCAUGCAACGAGGAAUGCCUUGUAAACGCGAGUCAUCAGCUCGCAUUGAAUACGUCCCUGCCCUUUGUACACACCGCCCGUCGCUCCUACCGAUGAAUGUUCCGAUGAAAUUUUCGGAGAGCGCCGGAGAACGGGGCUCUGCCCUGCAGAACUGGAGGCUCAAAGUCACUUAAAUCUGAACAUUUCGAGGAAGGAGAAGUCGUAACAAGGUAACC